rnacentral:rRNA from 1 species
AGCUUGCUUCCUUGGGCGUCGACCGGCGCACGGGUGAGUAACGCGUAUCCAACCUGCCUCUGACUGAGGGAUAACCCGUCGAAAGUCGGCCUAAUACCUCAUGGCAUCGUCUGCGGGCAUCCAACGACGAUUAAAGAUUUCAUCGGUCAGGGAUGGGGAUGCGUCUGAUUAGUUAGUUGGCGGGGUAACGGCCCACCAAGGCGACGAUCAGUAGGGGUUCUGAGAGGAAGGUCCCCCACAUUGGAACUGAGACACGGUCCAAACUCCUACGGGAGGCAGCAGUGAGGAAUAUUGGUCAAUGGGCGGGAGCCUGAACCAGCCAAGUAGCGUGCAGGAUGACGGCCCUAUGGGUUGUAAACUGCUUUUAUGCGGGGAUAAAGUGAGGGACGUGUCCUUCAUUGCAGGUACCGCAUGAAUAAGGACCGGCUAAUUCCGUGCCAGCAGCCGCGGUAAUACGGAAGGUCCGGGCGUUAUCCGGAUUUAUUGGGUUUAAAGGGAGCGUAGGCCGUGGAUUAAGCGUGUUGUGAAAUGCAGGUGCUCAACGUCUGCACUGCAGCGCGAACUGGUCCACUUGAGUGUGCGCAACGCAGGCGGAAUUCGUCGUGUAGCGGUGAAAUGCUUAGAUAUGACGAAGAACUCCGAUUGCGAAGGCAGGUUGCGGGAGCACAACUGA